rfam:Myotis davidii contig10263, whole genome shotgun sequence.
ACGGAGCCCAAGCGAGGGGCCCCGAAGAGGGGUCUGGAAAGGGGGGGGGGCUGUGCGACCCCGACACAAAGAAACGGGGG